UCAGUAACACGUGGCCAAACUACCCUUCGGAACACAAUACCCUCGGGAAACUGAGGCUAAUAGUGUAUACCGCAUCACACCUGGAAUGAGUGAUGCGCCAAACGCUCCGGCGCCGAAGGAUGUGGCUGCGGCCGAUUAGGUAGACGGUGGGGUAACGGCCCACCGUGCCAAUAAUCGGUACGGGUCAUGAGAGUGAGAACCCGGAGACGGAAUCUGAGACAAGAUUCCGGGCCCUACGGGGCGCAGCAGGCGCGAAACCUUUACACUGCACGACAGUGCGAUAAGGGAAUCCCAAGUGCGUAGGCAUAGAGCCUACGCUUUUGUCCACCGUAGGGAGGUGGACGAAUAAGGGCUGGGCAAGACCGGUGCCAGCCGCCGCGGUAAUACCGGCAGCCCGAGUGAUGGCCGAUCUUAUUGGGCCUAAAGCGUCCGUAGCUGGCCGCGCAAGUCUAUCGGAAAAUCCACCCGCUCAACGGGUGGGCGUCCGGUAGAAACUGCGUGGCUUGGGACCGGAAGGCGCGACGGGUACGUCCGGGGUAGGAGUGAAAUCCUGUAAUCCUGGACGGACCGCCGAUGGCGAAAGCACGUCGCGAAGACGGAUCCGACAGUGAGGGACGAAAGCUAGGGUCUCGAACCGGAUUAGAUACCCGGGUAGUCCUAGCCGUAAACAAUGCCUGUUAGGUGUGGCUCCCA
rnacentral:rRNA from 1 species